GUCGACGAGAUCUUUGGAUGAUUCUUUCGGGAUGAAUUCCAAAGAGGAAAGUGGCGGACGGGCGAGUAACGCGUGAGUAACCUGCCCAUAAGAGGGGGAUAAUCCAUGGAAACGUGGACUAAUACCGCAUAUUGUAAUAAAAUCGCAUGAUUUAAUUAUGAAAGAUUUAUCGCUUAUGGAUGGACUCGCGUCAGAUUAGAUAGUUGGUGAGGUAACGGCUCACCAAGUCAACGAUCUGUAGCCGAACUGAGAGGUUGAUCGGCCGCAUUGGGACUGAGACACGGCCCAGACUCCUACGGGAGGCAGCAGUGGGGAAUAUUGCGCAAUGGGGGCAACCCUGACGCAGCAACGCCGCGUGCAGGAAGAAGGUCUUCGGAUUGUAAACUGUUGUCGCAAGGGAAGAAGACAGUGACGGUACCUUGUGAGAAAGUCACGGCUAACUACGUGCCAGCAGCCGCGGUAAUACGUAGGUGACAAGCGUUGUCCGGAUUUACUGGGUGUAAAGGGCGCGUAGGCGGACUGUCAAGUCAGUCGUGA
rnacentral:rRNA from 1 species